rnacentral:rRNA from 1 species
AGUUCACGCGUAACGAGUCGACUAGCGUUCGGUCUCGAGAACUUUGUGCGCCAGGUAACGCGAUAAGUCGACGCUUGGGAGUACGCGCAAAGGUAAACUCAAAAUGAAUUGACGGGGGCCCGCACAAGCGGUGAGCAUGUGGUUUAAAUUCGAUGCAACGCGAAGAACCCUUACCUACUCUUGACAUCGAGCGAACUUUCCAGAGAUGGAUUGGUGCCUUCGGGAACGCUCAGACAGGUGCUGCAUGGCCGUCGUCAGCUCGUGUUGUGAAAUGUUGGGUUAAGUCCCGUAACGAGCGCAACCCUUGUCCCCUAUUCUCUCCCGCGAUUCGGUCGGGAACUCUAGGGAGACUGCCGGUGACAAACCGGAGGAAGGUGGGGACGACGUCAGGUCAUCAUGGCCCUUACGAGUAGGGCUACACACGUGCUACAAUGGCCGGUACAAUGGGCUGCAAUCCCGCGAGGGGGAGCUAAUCUCAUAAAGCCGGUCUCAGUCCGGAUCGGAGUCUGCAACUCGACUCCGUGAAGUCGGAAUCGCUAGUAAUCGUGCAUCAGAAUGGCACGGUGAAUACGUUCCCGGGCCUUGUACACACCGCCCGUCACACCAUGGGAGUGGACUGCACCAGAAGUGGUUAGCC